UGCAUACCAGCCAGGCAUGGUCCCUGCACCCAUGCCCAUGAUGCCAGCAAUGGGCACAGUCCCUGCCAUGCCAGCCACCGCUUCCCAGCCUGGAUGCAGGGCAGCUGGCCGUCCAGCAGCAGAACUUUAUCCAGCAGCAGGCGCUAAUCCUGGCCCAGCAGAUGACAGCCCAGGCCAUGUCCCUGUCCCUGGAGCAGCAGAUGCAGCAGCGGCAGCAGCAGGCUCGGGCCUCCGAGGCUGCGUCCCAGGCCUCACCCUCAGCCGUCACCUCCAAGCCCAGGAAGCCCCCCACACCCCCGGAGAAGCCACAGCGUGACCUGGGAUCAGAGGGUGGCUGCCUGAGGGAGACCUCCGAGGAGGCUGAAGACAGGCCCUAUCAGCCCAAGAGCUUCCAGCAGAAACGGAACUAUUUCCAGAGGAUGGGGCAGCCACAGAUCACAGUGAGGACGAUGAAGCCCCCGGCCAAGGUCCACAUCCCCCAGGGGGAAGCGCA
rnacentral:lncRNA from 1 species